GUUUUAAUAAUUUAAUCUAAAAUAUUGAUCUUGUAAAUCAAAAAUAGGAAAUCCUUUAAAACA
rnacentral:tRNA from 1 species